CUACGGAGGGUGCAAGCGUUAAUCGGAAUUACUGGGCGUAAAGGGCGCGCAGGCGGUUUGGUAAGUCAGAUGUGAAAGCCCACGGCUCAACCGUGGAAGUGCAUUUGAAACUGUCAGACUUGAGUACUAGAGGGGAAAGUGGAAUUCCCGGUGUAGAGGUGAAAUUCGUAGAUAUCGGGAGGAAUACCGGUGGCGAAGGCGACUUUCUGGCUAGAUACUGACGCUGAGGCGCGAAAGCGUGGGGAGCAAACAGGAUUAGAAACCCUAGUAGUCC
rnacentral:rRNA from 1 species